AGCGUACACGGUGGAUGCCCUGGCAGUCAGAGGCGAUGAAGGACGUGCUAAUCUGCGAUAAGCGUCGGUAAGGUGAUAUGAACCGUUAUAACCGGCGAUUUCCGAAUGGGGAAACCCAGUGUGUUUCGACACACUAUCAUUAACUGAAUCCAUAGGUUAAUGAGGCGAACCGGGGGAACUGAAACAUCUAAGUACCCCGAGGAAAAGAAAUCAACCGAGAUUCCCCCAGUAGCGGCGAGCGAACGGGGAGGAGCCCAGAGCCUGAAUCAGUGUGUGUGUUAGUGGAAGCGUCUGGAAAGGCGCGCGAUACAGGGUGACAGCCCCGUACACAAAAAUGCACAUGCUGUGAGCUCGAUGAGUAGGGCGGGACACGUGGUAUCCUGUCUGAAUAUGGGGGGACCAUCCUCCAAGGCUAAAUACUCCUGACUGACCGAUAGUGAACCAGUACCGUGAGGGAAAGGCGAAAAGAACCCCGGCGAGGGGAGUGAAAAAGAACCUGAAACCGUGUACGUACAAGCAGUGGGAGCACGCUUAGGCGUGUGACUGCGUACCUUUUGUAUAAUGGGUCAGCGACUUAUAUUCUGUAGCAAGGUUAACCGAAUAGGGGAGCCGAAGGGAAACCGAGUCUUAACUGGGCGUUAAGUUGCAGGGUAUAGACCCGAAACCCGGUGAUCUAGCCAUGGGCAGGUUGAAGGUUGGGUAACACUAACUGGAGGACCGAACCGACUAAUGUUGAAAAAUUAGCGGAUGACUUGUGGCUGGGGGUGAAAGGCCAAUCAAACCGGGAGAUAGCUGGUUCUCCCCGAAAGCUAUUUAGGUAGCGCCUCGUGAAUUCAUCUCCGGGGGUAGAGCACUGUUUCGGCAAGGGGGUCAUCCCGACUUACCAACCCGAUGCAAACUGCGAAUACCGGAGAAUGUUAUCACGGGAGACACACGGCGGGUGCUAACGUCCGUCGUGAAGAGGGAAACAACCCAGACCGCCAGCUAAGGUCCCAAAGUCAUGGUUAAGUGGGAAACGAUGUGGGAAGGCCCAGACAGCCAGGAUGUUGGCUUAGAAGCAGCCAUCAUUUAAAGAAAGCGUAAUAGCUCACUGGUCGAGUCGGCCUGCGCGGAAGAUGUAACGGGGCUAAACCAUGCACCGAAGCUGCGGCAGCGACGCUGAUGCGUUGUUGGGUAGGGGAGCGUUCUGUAAGCCUGUGAAGGUGUGCUGUGAGGCAUGCUGGAGGUAUCAGAAGUGCGAAUGCUGACAUAAGUAACGAUAAAGCGGGUGAAAAGCCCGCUCGCCGGAAGACCAAGGGUUCCUGUCCAACGUUAAUCGGGGCAGGGUGAGUCGACCCCUAAGGCGAGGCCGAAAGGCGUAGUCGAUGGGAAACAGGUUAAUAUUCCUGUACUUGGUGUUACUGCGAAGGGGGGACGGAGAAGGCUAUGUUGGCCGGGCGACGGUUGUCCCGGUUUAAGCGUGUAGGCUGGUUUUCCAGGCAAAUCCGGAAAAUCAAGGCUGAGGCGUGAUGACGAGGCACUACGGUGCUGAAGCAACAAAUGCCCUGCUUCCAGGAAAAGCCUCUAAGCAUCAGGUAACAUCAAAUCGUACCCCAAACCGACACAGGUGGUCAGGUAGAGAAUACCAAGGCGCUUGAGAGAACUCGGGUGAAGGAACUAGGCAAAAUGGUGCCGUAACUUCGGGAGAAGGCACGCUGAUAUGUAGGUGAAGUCCCUCGCGGAUGGAGCUGAAAUCAGUCGAAGAUACCAGCUGGCUGCAACUGUUUAUUAAAAACACAGCACUGUGCAAACACGAAAGUGGACGUAUACGGUGUGACGCCUGCCCGGUGCCGGAAGGUUAAUUGAUGGGGUCAGCGCAAGCGAAGCUCUUGAUCGAAGCCCCGGUAAACGGCGGCCGUAACUAUAACGGUCCUAAGGUAGCGAAAUUCCUUGUCGGGUAAGUUCCGACCUGCACGAAUGGCGUAAUGAUGGCCAGGCUGUCUCCACCCGAGACUCAGUGAAAUUGAACUCGCUGUGAAGAUGCAGUGUACCCGCGGCAAGACGGAAAGACCCCGUGAACCUUUACUAUAGCUUGACACUGAACAUUGAGCCUUGAUGUGUAGGAUAGGUGGGAGGCUUAGAAGUGUGGACGCCAGUCUGCAUGGAGCCGACCUUGAAAUACCACCCUUUAAUGUUUGAUGUUCUAACGUUGACCCGUAAUCCGGGUUGCGGACAGUGUCUGGUGGGUAGUUUGACUGGGGCGGUCUCCUCCUAAAGAGUAACGGAGGAGCACGAAGGUUGGCUAAUCCUGGUCGGACAUCAGGAGGUUAGUGCAAUGGCAUAAGCCAGCUUGACUGCGAGCGUGACGGCGCGAGCAGGUGCGAAAGCAGGUCAUAGUGAUCCGGUGGUUCUGAAUGGAAGGGCCAUCGCUCAACGGAUAAAAGGUACUCCGGGGAUAACAGGCUGAUACCGCCCAAGAGUUCAUAUCGACGGCGGUGUUUGGCACCUCGAUGUCGGCUCAUCACAUCCUGGGGCUGAAGUAGGUCCCAAGGGUAUGGCUGUUCGCCAUUUAAAGUGGUACGCGAGCUGGGUUUAGAACGUCGUGAGACAGUUCGGUCCCUAUCUGCCGUGGGCGCUGGAGAACUGAGGGGGGCUGCUCCUAGUACGAGAGGACCGGAGUGGACGCAUCACUGGUGUUCGGGUUGUCAUGCCAAUGGCACUGCCCGGUAGCUAAAUGCGGAAGAGAUAAGUGCUGAAAGCAUCUAAGCACGAAACUUGCCCCGAGAUGAGUUCU
rnacentral:rRNA from 1 species